UACAGAGGUCCCAAGCGUUGUUCGGAUUCACUGGGCGUAAAGGGUGCGUAGGUGGUGGGGUAAGUCGGAUGUGAAAUCUCCGGGCUCAACCCGGAAAUGGCAUUGGAAACUACCUUGCUGGAGGAUUUGAGGGGGGAUUGGAAUACUUGGUGUAGCAGUGAAAUGCGUAGAUAUCGGGAGGAAUAUCAGUGGCGAAGGCGGCCCUCUGGUCCAGUACUGACACUCAAGUGCGAAAGCGUGGGGAGCAAACAGG
rnacentral:rRNA from 1 species